UUUAUUUCAUAGGCUCCUGGGAACCCUUGAAUUAUGUUUCCGGCUGCUAUAAAGUGUGUGAAGUUGUACAUUUUCAGAAUGAUGGCUAAUGACCUACCAAGGUUUCCGGAAUAUAAAUGACUGCUUUUCGUUGUUACUAACCAAAGGCCCUGACCUCAACAACCUCUUAGAAGCAUUCAUUUUGCAGUUCCCGUAAGGUAAACCCAAGAAGCUGCACUGACUGGAUACUCAUUAAAAUCAAGUUAAUCUGACCCAUGAGUACCACUCCACAGUUCGAUUUACAUAGGCUGUCACCUGUAGAUCCACACGACAUGAACAGAAUCCCAAAAGCUUAACUUCCAUAGAACCGCCAUCUUACCUUGUUUGAAAUCUCAGCAGUGGUCUUGUUUGGAAAGGGAAAACACAGUAAUUCUGCAGUUUUGUGAGAAUGACCUUAACUAAGCUUUGAUAUGACAGCCAUAGAAUGAAAUGCAGAGCUGAUUAAUUUUUGUACUAAUUCAUCCUCCGCUACUCCCACUCUCCAUUGUAAACCUGCUUACCCAUGAAACUCCAGCAGUAGGUUUUUUAUAACCUUUCCUGGUUUUUCCAUUCAUGUUAUAUGUGAUUUAUAUCCAUAUUUGACACUGUAGAUAGAUGCCUGGGACCCAAGAAGGGAAUGGCGUUCUGUAAGAAGAAGUCAGGCCCUUGACUGACUUUAUCCACAGGAGAAGAUGAAUUAGGUAAAUGUGGUGUUUCCUUCUAUACUUUAAAAUCAGUGAUGUCAUAAUGGAUUUCUUUGUAUACACGUUACAUAAUAAAUUUAUACUUUUUGCCUUCCUAAAA
rnacentral:lncRNA from 1 species